UUUACUCGAGUUAUCGUGUGCACACAAAUGCGCUCGGUAAAAAAACGAUAAUGAUAGACUUUGAUUUCUUCAAAUAAUUUUCUUUUUAAUGGAAAGUCCUAACAUGGUUCGGAUAUUAAGGAUAUCUGGGCAUUUCGUGCGGUGUCGUUGUUUCAUAAGAUUGCACGUUUGUUAAAUUGAGAGUGAUGCAAAUGCAUAUAUACAUAAAUAUUUGGGAACUUUGUAGGCUUCAUUUGAUACUUUGUUAAGUUUACACAGAGCAAUUGUUAACUUCUAAUUUAUUUAAAGACGCUUAUGUAAAGUAAAUAGUAUAUAUAUACAUACAUACGUAUACAUAUACAGACAAGCACUUGUUAAAUUUUUUUAAUUUAACUUUUAAUUAUACUAAUUCUUAAAAUGAACUAUUCGAAAUUAAGCGAAAGAAAAUGCAAAGGGAAAUGCAAACAAUUAAUAUUUACAAUUUUACGAACGGGUACACAACACAAUAAACUAAAAAGUAUUAUUGAAAAGUAUUUAACAGAUGCAAUUAAGAGCGUUUCAAAAGUAGGAGCCACAAAAAAAAAACAACUAAAUGAAAAAAAAACAAUUUUAAAAAGAAGACAAGCAAUUGCAAACGACGAUAGUAGUAACAAAAACGACAAACGCAAAAACAAGAAAAUAAAAGAAAAUAAUAUUUGCACUUUUUAACAGAGUAAUAGGAAUGCAUAAUAAUCAAACUAAUCAAUAAAGUGAAGAAUAUUAGGUAAAUUGAAUAAGUUUGCCGAAGGCUUACUCUUUAACACAAGUCAGUUUAAUGCAAGUGAAGUAAGCACAAAAAAAGAUGCGACCAAAGCAUGCACACACACACACACACACACACACACAUACACACAAAAUUAAAGCAACUAAAAAAUGCACAUAACAAAUAAAAAAACGUGAAUAAAUGGAAAAGAAGAGAAUCAUAGUUAUUAAUUUAGCCAAGUUACUGUCAACAACCAAAAUAAAAUACUAAUAAAAAUUGAAGCAUAAGCGAAACACACAAAAAUUUACUAAACUUACAUGCUGUUACAAGUAAAUUAUUCAAAACGCGGACAGACAGGUAUGCAAUGAAAAGAUAAUCGUACAAGCAAGCACUAGAUAUUUUGAGAAUUUGAGAACCAUACAUGGAAUCGCUAAGGUCAUUAGAAAAAUGUAAACUAAGAGAAAAUCUAACACAAAAUGCCCCACCACAGCAGCACAAGACCCUCUUCUAAUAAGGAAUUAGACAAAUGAAGAUCAACGCCAUUAUUAGAAUUAGCACAAUUUGUAGUCCCUUUCACCGCACAUCCUUGCAUAAAAAUCACCCUGCAAGUGCUUUGUUCCCGUAAAAUACGCAAAAUACAUUGGAGGCGAUCAGAGUACCAUAAACUUCGCUCAACACCAUAAUCUACGAGAUGUACAAUACGCAUUUCUUCUUUAAAUUCUGACACACACAAAUUGAAGCAAUGUCUCAAGUAAUGAAA